rnacentral:misc_RNA from 1 species
GAAAAAAAAAAAAAAAAAAACAGAACUGCAGAUUUUUUUUUCUGCAGAAUUUCCAAUCUGCCGCUCAAGUUAAAAAAAAAUGCAGAAUUUCAGAUAUGCCAUUGGAUAAAAAAAAAAACUGCAGAUUUUUUUCUGCAGAAUUUCAGAUUUGCCAUUUGAAUAUUAUAAAAAAAAAGGAACUGCAGAUUUAUUUUGUAGAAUUUCAGUUCUGCCAAUAAAAAAAAUAAACAGAACUGCGAUUUUUUCUGCAGAAUUUCAGUUCUGCCGCUUAAAAAAAAACUGCAGAAUUUCAAA